rnacentral:rRNA from 1 species
GAACGCUGGCUGUAUGCCUAAUACAUGCAUGUCGAGCGAAGCACUUGUGCUUAGCGGCGAAUGGGUGAGUAACACGUACUUAAUCUGCCUCUUAGACUGGGACAACAGUUGGAAACGACUGCUAAUACCGGAUAUGCUUGGAAACAUAAGUUUCCGUAGUGAAAGAUGCGUUUGCAUCACUAAGAGAUGAGAGUGCGGAACAUUAGCUAGUUGGUAGGGUAAAGGCCUACCAAGGCUAUGAUGUUUAGCGGGGUCGAGAGGCUGAACCGCCACACUGGGACUGAGAUACGGCC